rnacentral:lncRNA from 1 species
UGGGCCCUUAACAGCUUGCUGUUUACUUUUAUACAAGGCUCUGUCUUGAAGGACGAAUAAUUGACCAAAAUUCGUAACUUUUUUAAAGAGGCAGAUCUGGAAAUUUUCACAAGAGGGGGGUCCACUUACUGUCAUGAGGGGUCACGCUUCAGUGAUUUGGUAUACAAUCAUCCAUUUUUUUUCCAGAAAAGGGCCCAAUUUUUAAAUCAGCCUCUGUUAUACAUUGUGACAUGUUUGCAGAGUUGUCUUCUUGGCAAUCAUAUCACAUUUGCUUAUUUAUAUGGACUAAUUAUAUACAUGCAUUUUUUUUUGAAAUUUCA